AUGGGAAAUGGCGACGAGGAGAAGGUGGAAGGCCUCCACCACGCUCGGCAGCCCCCGCACGGCGAGUCUUCCUCCUCAUCCCCUUCCUCCCGCCACGCCACGAAGCGCCGACGCGCGCACGGCGCGGCAGCAGCCAUGGCCGACCGCUUCUUCCCCAACGACCUCCCCGACUUCGUCGCCGAGGCACCCGACGGCGGCGACCCUCCCGCCGCCGGGCUCCGCGGCCUGCUCUCUCUCCCUUACCCCAGGCUCUCCGACCGGCUCCUCCGCGCCGCGCUCCGGCUCAAAGACAAGGCACGCCGUCUUUGCUUCAUUUCUUGUGUUGUGGUUUCAUUUCGGGGCGCGCGCGCGCGAGGUGCUCGACUGAUUGAUCGUGUCCUGCAGGUCGUGCAAGAGACAUGGACUAGGACGGGGGGCCAGGUGACGGACUACACGCUCUACACGGGCGCGCUCGGGACGGCGCUCCUGCUGUUCAAGUCCUUCCAGGUCACCGGCGACCGCCGUGAUCUCAACCUCGCCAGCGACAUCGUCCAAGCCUGCGAUGCCGCGUCGCUUGGCCUACCGUUCUUGACUUUCAUAUGUGGGAGGGCCGGUGUCUGCGCUCUCGGAGCAGUGAUCGCGAAGCAUUGCAAUGAUCAGUUGAUGGAGACCAACUUUCUGAGCUCGUUUGAUGAGAUAAUUAUCACAGAGAAAGUUCCAAAUGAGCUGCUGUAUGGAAGGGCGGGCUAUUUGUGGGCUUGUUUGUUCCUGAAUGAGCAUCUCAGUGACAAGACAAUUCCUGCCGAACACAUUAGUUCUGUAGCAAAGGACAUAAUUAGGGAGGGAAGGAAGCUGUCGAACAAGGGGAGCUGCCCGCUGAUGUAUGAGUGGCAUGGGAAGAAGUACUGGGGUGCUGCCCAUGGACUUGCUGGAAUCAUGCAUGUUCUCAUGCACACUGAAUUGAAGCUGGAUGAGCAGGAUGACGUGAAGAAUACUCUGCAGUACAUGAUCAGUAACCGGUUUCCAAGUGGAAACUACCCCUCGAGUGAAGACAGUGAAUCCGAUCGCCUGGUGCAUUGGUGCCAUGGUGCCCCUGGUGUUGCUCUUACACUCGCUAAGGCAUAUCAGGUCUUCCAAGAUGAUCACUUCAAGCAGUCCGCUGCAGAGGCUGCUGAAGUUGUCUGGAACCGUGGUCUUCUCAAGCGAGUUGGAAUAUGCCACGGUAUAAGCGGGAAUGCCUACGUAUUCCUCUCACUUUAUAGGCUAACUGGCAAUGUUGAGUACCUCUACCGGGCUAAGGCUUUUGCUUGCUUUCUGCUUGAAAAUGCUGAUCGAUUGAUUGCUGAGGAGGCCAUGCAUGGUGGUGACCGUCCGUUUUCAUUGUUUGAAGGAAAGGCUGGGAUGGCAUAUCUCCUUUUAGACAUGGUUAACCCCUCGGAAUCAAGGUUCCCCGCCUACGAACUUUGA
rnacentral:rRNA from 1 species